CACAUUUAACCCCUUUGUUGGCACAAUACUACCUCCAUACUUCAAUUCAUUUGUAUGGGUUACCUUCAGAUGAGUCCUGUGACACUUGUGGGGCUCGUAGAGCAAAAUGGAGAACACCAUCGUGUUCGUGGGAGGCUCCCCUUUCCAUAGGUAGUAGGCCAAACCGUUCGGAAGCUACAGACGUUUUCUGGAGAAGAGAUUUUCAGGAUGUCUCCUGCUCUGACAAGCAAUGCUGUAGCUCUGCCACUUUCCACCGCUGAUACAGAGGGCCAACAUAGGCGGAUGUGGUGGAUUGAGAUGCAGCCCAUGCAAAAAAAUUGAUAUUUCGGCUUUUGAUGGGAAUUGUUUUAUUAUGUUCAUUAGAUUGAUGCACGGGUGCGUCAAUAGACUCUUAAGGAUUAAUCUGUCUCCUCCCAUUCAUCUACACUGAUUGAAGUGGAUUAAACAAGUUACAUCAAUAAGGGAUCAUAGCUUUCACGUGAAUUCACCUGGUCGGUCUGUGGGGCGGUUUCGUGGACAGAGUUAAAUUAAGUUAGGACUAGGCUAAUUCUACUUAAAUUAAUCCAGAUGUAAAAACUUGCUUCCUGAGAUGUUACUUAACUUCAGAUUAAUUAGUUCUAGACUAAGGAGUUCCAGACUAAGGUAAGUAAGGACUAACCAGUUCAUCUUUGUAAAGCCUAAUUAAAUUAACGAUGUGCACUUGGUGCUGACCUGAGGAUGCUUCAAAAACCAGGGAUGAGACACUAAUAGAUAAGCAUUGUGUGGAAUUGGAGCAAGUCACCUAAACCAAAUAAUGGACUGAGGUAAAAGAAAACAUAAUCAUUUUUGUGACUUUGAAAAAUCCCUUUUGAAGCUAAUUGUGUCAAACCCCUCAAUUAUCUAGAACAAAAGCAUGAUUCAUCAACAGAAAACAAGAAAAAUAAUGCAUGGACUACCAUUUGUAAUGAAUUCAACUGAAAUGAAAAAGUAAACAGAAGGACGCUACAACAACUUCAGGUCCCGUAGAAAAACAUAAAAUAAACUUAAAGAAGACACAUGCUGUUACUCGUAGGGAGCGUUUCAAGACUGGUAAGACCAGAGACAGUUGAGCUUGGGGACUUGUUGACCGGGAUCAUUGAUGGCCAGCAACCCCUGGACGGUAUCCCUGAUAAUGACCAUUUGCACAGUUCAGAUGGGGUACCGUUCCAAUCUUCAUUUGAGGCAGAUGAUCACCAUAGCUUAGAGGGGAUAAUACAGGAUGGUGGUCAGCCCAGUAUAUCUGCAGCAGCCAGAAGGGAAGAUUGUGUCACUAACCCAGGCCGAGGACAAAGAGGCUGAGUAUGCAUGAGAAACUGACCAUGGGAUUUCAUGAGCACAAACUAAUGCAUUUAAAAGAAGAGCAUGAUAUGAAGAUGCAAAUCCUUCAUGUUUUGUUGGCUAUGAAAGAGGAGAAGAGAAACAUGAAGCACCAGCAGUACCAAUGUUUUUCUUGAACAAGCACCAGUUCGAGGUCCUGAUAUUUCCACUUGAGCUAUCUUUGUUGUGAGAAGUACUGCAUAGCAAAAGCAUCUUUGCAGGCUAGUCCAUUUCUGUCAUUGUCUGCCUUAACCAUUGGAACAUCUUCAAUGCAAGGAUCUGGGCAGCCAUGUUGUUUGAGG